rnacentral:rRNA from 1 species
UACGGAGGGUGCGAGCGUUAAUCGGAAUUACUGGGCGUAAAGGGUGCGUAGGCGGUUGUUUAAGUCUGUCGUGAAAUCCCCGGGCUCAACCUGGGAAUGGCGAUGGAUACUGGGCAGCUAGAGUGUGUCAGAGGAUGGUGGAAUUCCCGGUGUAGCGGUGAAAUGCGUAGAGAUCGGGAGGAACAUCAGUGGCGAAGGCGGCCAUCUGGGACAACACUGACGCUGAAGCACGAAAGCGUGGGGAGCAAACAGG